rnacentral:rRNA from 1 species
UACGUAGGGUGCAAGCGUUAAUCGGAAUUACUGGGCGUAAAGCGUGCGCAGGCGGCUUUGCAAGACAGAUGUGAAAUCCCCGGGCUCAACCCGGGAACUGCGUCCGAUACUGGCAGGCUUGAAUCCGGGAGAGGGAUGCGGAAUUCCAGGUGUAGCGGUGAAAUGCGUAGAUAUCUGGAGGAACACCGGUGGCGAAGGCGGCAUCCUGGACCGGCAUUGACGCUGAGGCGCGAAAGCCAGGGGAGCAAACGGG